AUUGAACGCUGGCGGCAGGCCUAACACAUGCCAGUCGAGCGGAUGAAGGGAGCUUGCUCCUGGAUUCAGCGGCGGACGGGUGAGUAAUGCCUAGGAAUCUGCCUGGUAGUGGGGGAUAACGUCCGGAAACGGGCGCUAAUACCGCAUACGUCCGGAGGGAGAAAGUGGGGGAUCUUCGGACCUCACGCUAUCAGAUGAGCCUAGGUCGGAUUAGCUAGUUGGUGGGGUAAAGGCCUACCAAGGCGACGAUCCGUAACUGGUCUGAGAGGAUGAUCAGUCACACUGGAACUGAGACACGGUCCAGACUCCUACGGGAGGCAGCAGUGGGGAAUAUUGGACAAUGGGCGAAAGCCUGAUCCAGCCAUGCCGCGUGUGUGAAGAAGGUCUUCGGAUUGUAAAGCACUUUAAGUUGGGAGGAAGGGCAGUAAGUUAAUACCUUGCUGUUUUGACGUUACCAACAGAAUAAGCACCGGCUAACUUCGUG
rnacentral:rRNA from 1 species